GCCGGCGCUUCCCAGCGGAGUGCGACCGUCCCGCCCCGGCAUCUGCGGGAGCGGGACGUGGCGCUGUGAUUCCCGUUGCCCGUUGUAGCCUCCCGCAGGAUUCCGCGUUGAGAUCGCGGCACGUUCGCCCCGCACCGCUCGGCUCUGACCGCUCGGCGCGCGGUCGGCGGUCGCGUUCCCCCUGCUUGAUAUGCCCGCCGUGUCCCCCCACCCGGCAGCGCACUGGUUUUGCGAUUCAUUCCUUGGCAUAGAAAUUACUUUGGAGUCUUAUUUUUCAUCACUAGAAUUAGCAGACGUGAGGCAGCUUUGUGCGGGCAUUCAUUCUGUAGGGAUUUCUGCCAGCCGCAUCACCUGCACCAAGGCUCUGUCCUGCCUCUCCCUGUCCUAGUCCCGUUCCUUUCCCUGAGUCCAUCAUCAUAUUCUUCAAGCAGGUGCCCAGCAUCCAGUGCAAAUAUCAAAGUUUUGGCCAGGAACUCCCUAGGUGUGGCAAUACCAGAUGAUAAUUCCUGCAUGAGCCUGUGAGGAUUUGGCUCUUUGAAAGGAGCUUCAAGCAACCCCAGAAAAAAAACAGAGGAAACAACUUGGUGUCUCUGGCAGGAAGAUUUGAUUCUCAGUCCCUAUGUCUGAAAAAAGCCUACAAUUACACCUAACCUAACAGAAAAGCUGUGAGGCUUGAUUAGUGUGUGCCUGGUGAAGUCUAUGGCACUGGCAAAGGAAGGAAUGAAGUGUCCCAAUAACUCUGCAGGCCUCUCAGAAUGCUUCAGGAACAGAUCUUAACAUCUGUGAUCUCAAGGAGCGUGAGCCUGGCAAGGAGCAAAGUCAAGACCCUGAACUAUGCAAGAGAUAACUUCCAGCUGUUUAAGGAAUUGGUGAAUGAGAUCCAUUGAGAAACUGUCCUUAAGGACAGAGCUGGCAGCUCUUAAGGCCCCUUUUCUUACAGUGCAAGAGCUCUCUAUCCCAGUGUGGAGGAAAUCAAGCAAGAUAGGCCAGAGACCGGCAUGGCUGAGCAAGGAUCUGCUUCUUAAACUGAGGAAUGAGAAAGAAAUGCACAGCCACUGGAAACAGUGACAGGUGAUUUGGGGAAAGUAGAGGGAUAGAGUUCAUAUGUGUAGUGAUGAGGUCAGGAAAGCCAAAGCCAAGAUGGAACAGGACUUGGCAAGAGACAUGAAGAAUAAUAUGUCUGAGAUGCAGUGCACUCUGUAAGCAUAGAUACCCUUCUGGCCCCAAAGUAAAUACGCACCUGUAAAAAUAUUGUGCAUUUCGUCAGUGACAUUGCUGCAAGGAACCACGCUUUUUCAUGUUGUGAAAUGUUUGGAUAGCCCAAAAAGACACGAAAUAUGCUGCACAGCCUGU